GAGUGCUCCCAAGCCAUGAUGGGAGCGCGGCACACGGCUCCGUAACACGUGGCUAACCUACCCUUGGGACGGGGACAACCCCGGGAAACUGGGGCUAAUCCCAGAUAGGUGAGAGGGCCUGGAAUGGUCUCUCGCUGAAAGGGCAUCGAGAUCACGCUUCUCGGCGUCGCCCAAGGAUGGGGCCGCGGCCGAUCAGGUUGUUGGUGGGGUAACGGCCCACCAAGCCUAUAACCGGUACGGGCCCUGAGAGGGGGAGCCCGGAGAUGGGGACUGAGACAAUGCCCCAGGCCCUACGGGGCGCAGCAGGCGCGAAACCUCCGCAAUGCGCGACAGCGUGACGGGGUCAUCCCGAGUGCCGUCCGCUGAGGGCGGCUUUUUCCCAGUGUAAGGAACUGGGGGAAUAAGGGGAGGGCAAGUCUGGUGUCAGCCGCCGCGGUAAUACCAGCUCCCCGAGUGGUGGGGAUGAUUACUGGGCCUAAAGCGUUCGUAGCCGGCUUGGCAAGUCUUCCGUUAAAUCUGACGAUUUAAUCGCCAGACUGCGGGAGAUACUACCAAGCUAGGGGGCGGGAGAGGCCGGCGGUAGUUCCGGGUAGGGGUGAAAUCCUAUAAUCCCGGGAGGACCACCAGUGGCGAAGGCGGCCGGCCAGAACGCGCCCGACGGUGAGGGACGAAAGCUGGGGGAGCGAACCGGAUUAGAUACCCGGGUAGUCCCAGCCGUAAACGAUGCGGGCUAGGUGUUGGAACGGCUACGUGCCGUUCCAGUGCCGCAGGGAAGCUAUUAAGCCCGCCGCCUGGGAAGUACGGCCGCAAGGCUGAAACUUAAAGGAAUUGGCGGGGGAGCACCACAAGGGGUGAAGCCUGCGGUUUAAUUGGAGUCAACGCCGGGAACCUCACCGGGGGCGACAGCAGGAUGAAGGCCAGAUUAACGGUCUUGCUGGACAAGCUGAGAGGAGGUGCAUGGCCGUCGCCAGUUCGUGCCGUGAGGUGUCCUGUCAAGUCAGGCAACGAACGAGACCCCUGCUCCUAGUUGCCAGCGGAUCCCAUUGGGAUGCCGGGCAAGACUAGGGGGACUGCCGCCGAUAAGGCGGAGGAGGGAGGGGGCCACGGCAGGUCAGCAUGCCCUGAAUCUCCCGGGCCACACGCGGGCUGCAAUGGCAGGGACAGAGGGCUCCGACCCCGAAAGGGGAAGGUAAUCCCUAAACCCUGCCUUAGUUGGAAUCGAGGGCUGCAACCCGCCCUCGUGAACAUGGAAUCCCUA
rnacentral:rRNA from 1 species